GUUCGGAAUCACUGGGCGUAAAGGGUGCGUAGGCGGGUCUUUUAAGUCAGGGGUGAAAUCCUGGAGCUCAACUCCAGAACUGCCUUUGAUACUGAAGAUCUUGAGUUCGGGAGAGGUGAGUGGAACUGCGAGUGUAGAGGUGAAAAUUCGUAGAUAUUCGCAAGAACACCAGUGGCGAAGGCGGCUCACUGGCCCGAUACUGACGCUGAGGCACGAAAGCGUGGGGAGCAAACAGG
rnacentral:rRNA from 1 species